UACGUAGGGUGCGAGCGUUAAUCGGAAUUACUGGGCGUAAAGCGUGCGCAGGCGGUUUUGUAAGCCAGAUGUGAAAUCCCCGGGCUUAACCUGGGAAUGGCAUUUGGGACUGCAAGGCUUGAGUGCGGCAGAGGAGACUGGAAUUCCUGGUGUAGCAGUGAAAUGCGUAGAUAUCAGGAGGAAUACCGAUGGCGACGGCAGGUCUCUGGGCUGACACUGACGCUCAUGCACGAAAGCGUGGGGAGCAAACAGG
rnacentral:rRNA from 1 species